rnacentral:rRNA from 1 species
CAGUCGCCGCGGUAAUACGAAGGGUGCAAGCGUUAAUCGGAAUUACUGGGCGUAAAGCGUGCGUAGGCGGUGAGUUAAGUCUGCUGUGAAAUCCCCGGGCUCAACCUGGGAAUGGCAGUGGAUACUGGCUCGCUAGAGUGUGUCAGAGGAUGGUGGAUUUCCCGGUGUAGCGGUGAAAUGCGUAGAGAUCGGGAGGAACAUCAGUGGCGAAGGCGGCCAUCUGGGACAACACUGACGCUGAGGCACGAAAGCGUGGGGAGCAAACAGGAUUAGAUACCCCCGUAGUCCCUGUCUCUUAUAC